rnacentral:rRNA from 1 species
UGGGGAAUUUUGGACAAUGGGCGAAAGCCUGAUCCAGCAAUGCCGCGUGUGUGAAGAAGGCCUUCGGGUUGUAAAGCACUUUUGUCCGGAAAGAAAUCCUUGGCUCUAAUACAGUCGGGGGAUGACGGUACCGGAAGAAUAAGCACCGGCUAACUACGUGCCAGCAGCCGCGGUAAUACGUAGGGUGCAAGCGUUAAUCGGAAUUACUGGGCGUAAAGCGUGCGCAGGCGGUUUGCUAAGACCGAUGUGAAAUCCCCGGGCUCAACCUGGGAACUGCAUUGGUGACUGGCAGGCUAGAGUAUGGCAGAGGGGGUAGAAUUCCACGUGUAGCAGUGAAAUGCGUAGAGAUGUGGAGGAAUACCGAUGGCGAAGGCAGCCCCCUGGGCCAAAUACUGACGCUCAUGCACGAAAGCGUGGGGAGCAAACAGGAUUAGAUACCCUGGUAGUCCACGCCCUAAACGAUGUCAACUAGUUGUUGGGAUUCAUUCCUUAGUAACGUAGCUAACGCGUGAAGUUGACCGCCUGGGGAGUACGGUCGCAAGAUUAAAACUUAAAGGAAUUGACGGGGUCAUAGCUGUUUCCU